ensembl:misc_RNA 7SK 7SK RNA
GGACGUAAGGGUGAUCUGGCUGCGACAUCUGUCACCCCAUUGAUCGCCAGGGUUAUUUUGGCUGAUCUGGCUGGCUAGGUGGGUGUCCCCUUCCUCCCUCACCGCUCCAUGUGCAUCCCUUUGGAAGUUGCGAGCUAGGUCUAAGAGGACGACCUUCCCCCGAAUAGUGGAGGACCGGUCUUCCGGUACACCGGUCUUGGUCUUCGGUAUAGGAGUAGCUGCGCUCCCCUGCUAGAACCUCCAAACAAGCUCAAGGUUCAUCCUUUUCUUAUUAAAGCAACUAAUUCUAUCCUAAGGGCUCCACCCUCAAGGUUUGAUAAAAGUCAACAGACUU